UACGUAGGGUGCGAGCGUUAAUCGGAAUUACUGGGCGUAAAGCGCGUGUAGGCGGUUGCGUAAGUUGGUUGUGAAAUCCCUCGGCUUAACCGAGGAACUGCAGCCAAUACUGCGCGGCUGGAGUGGCAGAGAGGAAAGUGGAAUUCCCGGUGUAGUAGUGAAAUGCGUAGAUAUCGGGAGGAACACCAGUGGCGAAGGCGACUUUCUGGCUGCUAACUGACGCUGAGACGCGAAAGCUAGGGGAGCGAACGGG
rnacentral:rRNA from 1 species